rnacentral:rRNA from 1 species
UACGGGGGAGCAAGCGUUGUUCGGAUUUACUGGCGUAAAGGGCUCGUAGGCGGCCAACUAAGUCGGACGUGAAUCCCUCAGCUUAACUGGGAACUGCGUCCGAUACUGGAUGGCUUGGAUUGGGAGAGGGAUGCGGAAUUCCAGGUGUAGCGGUGAAAUGCGUGAGAUAUCUGGAGGAACACCGGUGGCGAAGGCGGCAUC